UACGUAGGGGGCAAGCGUUGUUCGGAUUCAUUGGGCGUAAAGGGUGUGUAGGUGGCGCCGUAAGUCGGGUGUGAAAUUUCGGAGCUUAACUCCGAAACUGCAUUCGAUACUGCGGUGCUUGAGGACUGGAGAGGAGACUGGAAUUUACGGUGUAGCGGUGAAAUGCGUAGAUAUCGUAAGGAAGACCAGUGGCGAAGGCGGGUCUCUGGACAGUUCCUGACGCUGAGGCACGAAGGCCAGGGGAGCAAACGGG
rnacentral:rRNA from 1 species